GUCUUUUUGAUAUUAAUUUAAAGUCUGACCUGCUCAAUGAAUAUUUAAAUAGCUGCGGUAUUUUGACCGUACAAAGGUAGCAUAAUCAAUAGUUUCUUAAUUAGAAACUGGAAUGAAUGGUUUGAUAAGAAAAAAACUGUCUCAAUUUAAAAUUUAAAGAAUUUUAUUUUUUAGUUCAAAAGCUAAAAUAAUUUUUAAAGACGAGAAGACCCUAUAGAGUUUUAUUAUUAUUUUAAUUGAUUAAUUUAGAAAUUUAUAUAAAUAAUUAAAAAAAUAAUUUGAUUGGGGUGAUUAAAAAAUUUAAGGAACUUUUUUUAAUUUUUUACAAUAAUUAAUGAAUUUUUGAUCCAUAUUAAUGAUUAAAAGAUUAAAUUACCUUAGGGAUAACAGCGUAAUUUUUUUUAAGAGUUCUAAUCGAAAAAAGAGAUUGCGACCUCGAUGUUGGAUUAAAAAUAAAAUAUGGUGUAGAAGCUAUAUAAUUAGGUCUGUUCGACCUUUAAAAUUUUACA
rnacentral:rRNA from 1 species